GGGAUUCCCUUUAGUCUACUCUUCUGUUCUUCCUUAAUUAAUGUACUUACCAUGCUUCUAUGAUUCCAAAGUAGAGACUUGCCAUGGCUCCUUAUCUCCCCAUACAACUUUACUCACCCUCCCAGCCCAUACUUAGUUGGUUGUCAAGUCUCAAACUUUGCUCCUCUGAAGCAUCUUAUAAAGACGUCUUCUUGCCCUUGCUUACGGACCCUUUUCAAACGUAGUAACUGCUUUCCAGCUGACGCCCAAAUUGGACUCUGUCCAUUAAUCCGUCUUCUACUUGUCAUCAGCUUUCUUAAAACAGAUCUAAUUAGUCCAAUUUUUCCCUUAGGACAAUUUGUAGCACUCAAGUCCUACAAGAGGGAUUCAAAUUUCACAGCAAGAUGUACGACCCUUCAGAAUUUGCCUUCCAUCAUUUGCUCCCUACACUUCAUCUGUCCUAAACUGUUUGCCAUUCCUAGAACACUCCUUGAGUUCUUUCUUGUAUCUUUGCUUUGCAUCUCUGUUUUUGUUCUCACUCUCCCUUCUACUUCGUCUUCCUUUCCUUCUGCUGGAGAAGGGAUCCAGAUUAUGUCUGUUAGGCAAGUAUGCUAGAAAGUACCUUGUCAAAAUUGUGUUUGGCUUUUGAAAACCUUCUCACAUGGGACCUUUUUUUGAAGUCAAGGUUUCACCUGGAAUGUAGCUCAUCCUGGCCUUGAACUCAACAUCUUCCUGCCUCUCUUAAGUGAUAUAAUUAUAGAUAUGUGAUGCCACACCAUUGUAAUAUGGCCUUUUUGGACCAUUUGGUCCAAGUAGAUCUUGUUAGCACUACCUAUUUGUGUGGUUAGAAGAAAUCACUGGAAUUGCAAGCACUGUUCUGUGUUAAUUUUUCAUCUCCAGUAACCAUCUGAUCAGUCCUCGAAAUAUUGAAGGCCUAAUUCAUAUUUUGAUGAAGAAUCCAUAAUUUAUGAUCUGAGUUAGAUUUUACUGCGUAAGUAGAUCAUCAAACUACUGAGUUUAGUUAGUAAUUUUUGAAUCACUUAAUUAGAUCCCGAUUUUAAGAGUGGGUAAUUUAGUUAGGCUGCAGAGGCUGCGAGUUUUAGAGCUGGGCCUAUUUUUUGAUGUUCAUUUGUGACUUGAGUGAUUUGGAAGAUGGCUCUUCUUCUUGCCUCAACUACUUGUUCCAGCCACAUGUUUUCUAGUCUAUAACCAAGCUUGUCCAUACUCAAGGUUUAAAGAUCAUACAAAGGCAUAAAAGACUUCCUUGGGCAUGAAAUCUAGACUUGAAAGACAUUAUUGCUGUCUGAAUGAAGUCUGUUAGCCAAAGAUAGUGCUGAUAAAAGUGAGAAAAUAGAUUGACUCUCCUGAUGAAGUGGACUGCAAUCCUGUUGCAAGAAACCUGCAAUCAAUCUCAGGUAUAAGACUAAGAGAUUAGACCAGGCUGGGGCCAGGUGUUUUACUUCACUAUUUGACUAGUAUUGUGAACAAUUUUGACCUGACCCGUGGGUUUAAAUUGAGCUCAAGAUGUCCCUACUUUCAAAUUCUCAUCUUUUGAUGUGAAACAUAUACAAAAAUGUACCUUUUUGGCCUUGAUGUCCCAGGAUGAAGUGGAAUACCAAUAAUGCUAUGGUAUGGGGAAGGAGUUCCUUAGUAUGGCAUAACUUUGCACCAGCUCUCUUCUUGCCUCUACAUUCUGGAAGCUAGUGGGCAGUCCUGAGAACUUUUCUGUGGUUGAGUGCCCUCUAAUACGGGCCAUUGAUUUGCUUUCUUGAAUUUGAUUUAAAAGUUAUCUCCUUGGAGAAUGUCAGGGAAAGGUUUACUGGUAUAAAAAUAUCUCCUGAUGUUAGUAGUUUACUUAUCUUAAACUUUUGUGUAUUUUCUAGUCUGUAGAAACUGCUGAAACUUGACAGCAUGAGUUUAUAUGUUCCUGACUUGUCUGAGCCCCAUUCAAGAAUACUUUUGAGGACUAGGAAGUCUGCAUAGAUCUACAAGCAUAAUAUGCUAAAGUAUACAUGAAGUGCAUAAUAGUUGUGCAGAGAGUAAACUACCCCUGGAUAGUUUCUUCUAGGACUUGGCUUCUGUACUUAUCUGUAUACUUUAGUAGAAUUAUUGGAAGUAGUUAAAGAAAGCAGAUACUGGACUGGGAUAUAGCUCAAUGGUACAGGACUACCUUGCAUGUGAGAGUGCUGUUGAUUCGACCUAUAUUACAGAUAAAAGACUGGGCAUGGUGGUACAAGACAAUAAUCCAAACAAUAGGGUGGUAGACAUGGAAGGAUCAUAGUUUUGUGGUCAGCCUAGGCUACAUAGAGAAAUCCUGUCUCAGAAAAAUGAAAACAAAAACCACAUAUAACAUUUACCUCAUCCACACCCAUUUCUACCAAUUGUAGAAAUGUAGAUGGAUAAUGGAUGCCAUCAAAAGGCAUAAAGGAAUGAGAGGCACAUAGAGGGAGGGCUACUAGGCUUUUUGGCAGUAGGUAGUGACUCCACUACUCACCACUGGCAUACCAGGAGCCAAAAUAAUCCACAGCCUAUAAUUCUACCCAAAUCACACACUGUGUUGCUUGUGAAUGCAUGCGGAAUUUUAAUCAUGGCAUAAGAGUAUGGUGGUGUAAUCCCGGAACUCUGGAGGUAGAGGCAGGAAAGUCCUAAGUCCAGUUUAAGUUAUAGUGAGACUUUGUCACAAAUACCAACAAAAGAGUUGUAACUUACAUUAACAAAAUAAUGUUUGCUUUCAAGACAGGAUCUCUGUUCUCAGCUGCCCCCAGACUUUGCUAUGAAGCUUUAAUGACUUUGAACUGAUCCUUCCUGUGUCAAUCUCCUGAGUACUGGUACUAUAGACAGGCAUCAUUAUGGUUAGUUCAUAGGUUCUGGAUAUCUAACCCAGGGCUUUGUGCAUGCCAAUUAGGCAAGCAGUAUGUUAAAUGAACUGCAUCUCCAAUCUUUAUAAUUUUUUCAUGUAUUAUGCUUUUAAUUUCAUUUUUUCCAAAUAACAAAAAUUUAUGGAAUCGUUAAGUCUCCACACGUCCAUUUAGAGGAUCACAAUAAAAUUCAGUUGAAAGAUCAGUGUUUUAGUUGAUAAGUGUAACAAGUGAAAUCAAAGUAGUUUAAUCGACUGGAAACAGGGUAUUAAUCAAAAUAGUAUUUGUGGGUAUUAUGCUGUACUUUUCUGAAAGAGCACUUUAACAUGUUACAUAAUCAGAACUCUUUUUAAGUUAUAUUUAUUGAUAUGUGUAUAUGAUGUAUAUGUACCUACUGACACUUACUUGUGUGGUAUGUAGGUACACAUAUACAAUAUGUAUUCUGCACAGAUGAUUGUGUCUGUAUAGUUUUCAUCUUUACAUCAAUUUCUUUACUAAUUGGCGCCUUAUUUUUCCUAGAGGUGAGGGUAUGUAAGGAAAUGUUUGUUCACCACAGAAAGGGCAUAAAUAGAAUGUUUUUUGUGCAUCUGAAAAAUAAAAAGGACAGUUACUUCAUAGGUAACCAAUCAAACACACACACACACACACAUGCACACACACACAUCUGUUAGUGUUUUCCCACAUUCAGUUAACCUUCUACCAUAUAUAUAUAAUCUUAUAUACCCCAAGAUCAGACACAAGCUGGGGUAGGCAGGAGGGAGUGUUGAAAGGAUUCUUAGUAGAGUGUCAGGUUACUUAUUUGUCAUAACCAUAGAUGUGUUCUACUUGUUUCAUUGUCAUGAGUUCGAGGCCAGGGCAUUUUGUAGGUCACCACAACAGUCUCUUCCUGCAUGAUGGCAGUGAUCAUGUUAUACCUCUAAGAUAGCUAUACCACAGCAGUAUCUCAAAGUUCUAGUAAAUAGCUAUGAGAAAAUGGAGUGCUAUUUGUUGGUCCAUUCAUAGAGGAUCAGGAUUAAAUUUUAUCAGAGAUUAACAAUUUAGUUUUAUCAUUAGUAGUAUCUUAUCUACCACAGUCUUCCUUAAAGGUAAAUAUAAGAGAAUAGUAAUGAGAUUACUAGAUGAAGGUGGUAGAUUCAGAAGGCACCUUUGUUAAUACUGAGGAAGAUUAAUGGGCAUACUGUUGGCUCUUACAUAGAGAUAUAAAAAUACACACUUAAGAUGGAGUACAUGCUAAUAACUCUCCUAUAAUUUGAACACUACAUUAGAUAAUAUUAAGGAUGGUUUGCAUGUUUGGAACUCCUAUUCCUGAUUAACAAUGCUUGCAGUAUGUUUCAUCCCCUCCAUUAGUGCUGUGUAAUUGACCAUGUGAUGGUUUUUUGGGAAUAAGUUUAGUUCUGAGGCUAUAUCUGUGGCUAUUGAGUUGGGUUGUCUGCUGAGCAUCACAUUUACUGCUCUGGACUUUGAUAUUACCAUUUCUCACACAUGGUUAUAAUCUGAUCUUGAAAGUCUCUCCUGUUUCUAAAAAUGUUGGUUUUAAUGCUGUGUUUUUUAAUAUGUCAGUAUAAAACUACUACCGGGAUUCCAAACAUAGGGAUGAUAACUUCAGUUGGUAAACUGCUGUGCUGACAUAAGGACCUGAGUUGAUUAUUAGGACUCAUGAAAAAACAAAAAAACAAAAAACAAAAACAACCCAAAAACCUUGUCUCACAUCCCAGUGCCAGCAUCAUAAAUAUCAGUUAUAUUUUAUUUCUGAUGCAUAUUACACUAACACUAACAAUUGUUCCUAGAGGAACCAAACUAGUUUCAAAUUAUGUCAUCCUAUAGAAUGUCCUCCUUUUCUUCUGUUGGGUGAAUAUAGUGAGGCUUGCACUUUUGUAUUUUGAAUGACGUUUAUACACUGUGGGAGAGUCAUUGCUACCUUUUUGUAGCCUCCUGCCCACAUACUAUUUGAUUCUUUCAAUUAAUCAUAGACUUGGAGGGAACACUCCGAGUAACAUCUCUAGCCUAAUAGCUCAGACUUUUUCUAGCAGUUUUCCCUCCUUCCACUUCUCCCAAUCUCUUGUCCCACCUCUCCUCUUCCCUAGAUCAACUCUUUCUUUGCCUCCUAGGGAGGCUAAUCCACAAAACAUGGCCCAACAAGAUACAACAAGACUAGGCACAAACCCUCAUAUUAAGGUUGGAUGAGGCAACUAAGCGAGAGAAAAAGGGUCCCUGGCACAGACAAAAGAGUCAAAGAUACUUCCUACUCUCACAAGAACACCAAGCUACACAGCCGUAAGGUACAUGCAGAGGACCUAGCUCAGUCCCAUACAGGCAGUGUAUUUGCUACCUCAGUCUCUGAGGCCCUAUGAGUCUUGCUUAGGUGAUUCUGUUGACUGUGUUCUCGUGGUGUCUUCAUCCCCUCUGUCUCCUACAAUCUUCCUCCUUCUCUUCUGCAGGGUUCCCAUGGUUCUACCCCGUGUUUAACUGUGGAAGACAGGGUCUCUUACUGGACUAGAAUUUUCUAAGUUGGUCAGCCAGUGAACCGCAGGGAUCUGUCCAUUCCCACAUACUAUCACACCUUUAAAAAAGACAGGUUUCUAGGGAUUAAAUGCAAUGUCCCCAUGCUUGCAAAGCAGCAUUUUGCAAACUGUCUCCAUAGUACCUCACCUUAGCCCUUGUUGUAUAUCAUAAAUCCUCAUUCAUUCCACUUACUGCAAAUCUUCCCUUUUCUUGGCAGACAACAGUGUGAGCCUGGAAUUCCCAUAUGCCCAGGAAGGAAGGAAGUGGAAUUAUCUGGUAGCCUCAGAAAGUUUUUCCCCCCCUGGUAUUUGUGUCUUUGAGUGUCUCAGUAAUUUCAUAUCAACCUCACAGGAUUUUUCUGCAUAACUGUCAGAUGGGAUAUGCAGUUUCCUAAUAUAUGCAAUUUGCAUGUUCUUAUCUGUCCCUGA
rnacentral:lncRNA from 1 species